rnacentral:lncRNA from 1 species
UGGCUGUGCUUGGCUCUGGACUUCAGGUGAGUUCAAUCUCAACUCCUGUCUCUCAUUCUUAUUAGAUCAGUGAGUUGCCUGACAUUUCUUCUCAUUGUGAUGGCAGAAGUUCUAGAUGGCAAGCCAGAUUGUGAUCUGAUGCCAUCAAAAGUCACAAGAACUGGCCGGGCAAGGUGGCUCACGCCUGUAAUCCCAGCACUUUGGGAGGUCAAGGCUGGCGGAUCACGAGGCUUCCCGAUUAUUCUACCAACUCUACCAAAUCCUUGUUCU